rnacentral:lncRNA from 1 species
GGGGUCCCUUUUAUAGAUGGAGAGCGUAACUGAUUGACAGCGACGUCUGUAACCGCUUGGUAGUGGGCCGUUCAGAGCCACACGAAGUUUGUUAUAAAGAGUAGUGGCGUCAGGGGCCAUUCAGGGCCACGUGGAGUUUGUCCGUUGUCGUGACUUGCCAGAGAGUGGUGGAGCCAUGCGGAAUUUAUUGCAGAGAGUGGAGUAG